rnacentral:rRNA from 1 species
GACGAACGCUGGCGGUGCGCCUUAUGCAUGCAAGUCGAGCGAAGCUUUUCAGUAGUUUACUACAGAAAAAUGACUGAGCGGCGAACGGGCGAGUAACGCGUGAGCAAUCUACCUUAGUUACAGGGAUAGCCCGAGGAAACUCGGAUUAAUACCUGAUAUUCUUUAUUUCUCGCAUGAGAAUAAAAGGAAAGGUCAGCCGAACUAAGAUGAGCUCGCGUUCUAUCAGCUAGUUGGUGAGGUAAAAGCUUACCAAGGCUACGACGGAUAGCUGGUCUGAGAGGACGAUCAGCCACACUGGGACUGAGACACGGCCCAG